CCCUUAGAUGUCCUGGGCCGCACGCGCGCUACACUGAUGCAUUCAACGAGUUUUACCUUGGCCGAGAGGCCUGGGCAAUCUUUUGAACCUGCAUCGUGAUAGGGAUAGAUUAUUGCAAUUAUUAAUCUUGAACGAGGAAUUCCUAGUAAACGCAGAUCAUCAAUCUGCAUUGAUUACGUCCCUGCCCUUUGUACACACCGCCCGUCGCACCUACCGAUUGAAUGGUCCGGUGAAGCCUCGGGAUUGUGGCGAGUUCCCUUUAUUGGGAGUUUGUCGCGAGAACUUGUCUAAACCUUAUCAUUUAGAGGAAGGUGAAGUCGUAACA
rnacentral:rRNA from 1 species